GACGCACGCUGGCGGCGUGCCUAAUACAUGCAAGUAGGACGCAGUUGCGAACGGGUGAGUAACGCGUAGGUAACUGCCUAUUAGAGGGGGAUAACUAUUGGAAACGAUAGCUAAUAACGAAUACUCGUAGAUGGACCUGCGUUGUAUUAGCAAGUAGGUAGGGUAAGGGCCGCCUGGGGCGACGAUACAUAGACGACCUGAGAGUUUGGUCGGCCACAACGGUGUUGAUGCACGCACGGUAAUCCUACGGGAGGUAGCAGUUGGGAAGCUUAGGCAAUGGGGGGAACCCGGACCGAGCAACGCCGCGUGAGUGAAGAAGGUGUUCGGAUCGUAAAGCUCUGUUGUUAAGUAAGCGGUACUUAACCAGAAAGGGACGGCUAACUACGUGCCAGCAGCCGCGGUAAUAC
rnacentral:rRNA from 1 species